rnacentral:rRNA from 1 species
AUGCUGCGGCCGCUCCGCCGCCUAUCCGGCCCCCUCCGCCGCUCCCUCUCCACCGCCUCUUGGCGCCCCGCCUGGGCCAUGAUUUACCGGAUCUCCACGGCGGAGGAGUCCGCGGCCGCGCGGGGCGUCUCCCUCGCGCUCGCCCCGCCCCCGCUCGCCUCCCGCGUCUCCGUCCCAAGGCACGCCUUCGGUCUCGACCCGCUCCCGGACACGGCCAGCUCCGACGGCCAGCCCUCCAACUUCUUCGACUUCGGCAGCCUGGCCCCCGAGCAGGGCUCUCCCCAACCGGCCAGCACCCUUGUCGAUAUCUUCGGCAGCGGCGUGCUCGCCGCGAGCAGCGACGGCCUCCUCCUGCUCGGCACGUUCAGGAACCGCGCCGACCCCACGGGGAUGUUCGAGUACCAGGGCCCGUCCACCGCCCCGUUCGAGGUCCUCGACCAGGCCUACGCUCGCUCCUACUGCUGCGACAUCAUGAGGCUCGCGCGCUUCGUCUGCAACCCCGUCACCGGCGAGAUGGCCCGCCUUCCGGACUUCGACGGCACGGAGGACGCCUUCACCGCCUCCACGGGCCUCCUCACCCAGGCCGACGGUGGGCACGGACCACCCAGGAGGUACGCCGCUGCGCAGCUCAGCUUGGUCGGCGAUGGGCGGCGUUUCCUGCUGCGCCGGCUCUCCUCGGAGACAGGGGAGUGGGACGAGCUGCUGCUGCCGUCCCCGCUACCGGCUGGGCGCCUCAUGUACAUGAACCACGAGGUGCUGGACUUCGGAGGGCGGCUCUGGUGGGUAGACGUGAGCUGGGGCGCCGUCAACGUCGACCCGUUCAGCGACCGGCCCGAGCUCUGCCUCGUCGAGCUGCCGGGAGACAUCAUGCUUCCUGACCAACAGGGCGAGGCAGAGAUGAGGCAGCUCCUCCAGCACAGGCGCAUGGGGGUCAGCGACGGCAGGCUGAGGUUUGUGGAGGUUUCCAAGGACGAGCCCUUCAACAUCAAGUCGUUCAUGCUUGAUGAACAGAGUGGCCGCUGGAUGCUGGAGCACAUGGUGACCUGGAAAACUCUCUGCCCCGGAGGCAAGGUGGCGCCUAUGAUUGCUGCUAUCGAUCCGAUGAGCGCCGACUUAGUGCAUCUCACUGUGCCCGUGGGCAAUGGAUAUUUUGUAAGUGUUGACAUGCGCUGGAAGAGGCCGGUUGAGUGUGUGGACUUCGGAAGUGGCGUUCAUCCAAGCAAGUGCAUCUCAAGUUUCGUUCUGCCAUGUGUGCUCCCCUCAUUUCUCGGAUCAAGCCCGAUUCCAGAUAUGCAUCCGCGGAGGCUAUUCAGCUAUGCCACAAGCUUCCAGCGCAAACAAAUACCGGUCAUUCGUCAACUUCUGUUCAGUCAUGAGUAUGAGGCGAAGAAUGAAAUAUGGUGUCCUUUUGAGCAGAUGCUGGUGAAGGGAAGUAUGCUGAAGAGCCUUGUUCCAGGCGGGCUUAUAAGGGUAGAAGAUAUAAUCCGCAAUGGCCAUUACAGUACUGGGAAGCUGGCACUCCUAUCUCUUCGUGAUUUAGUAGAUCUAGCAACUGUUAAUCUGAUGAGAGGCGUCAAUGUUAGUGAGCUUAUUGUCUUGGAAAACCUAUUGUGGGCUCCCUCAGCUCGGGGCAUUAUGUUCAAGCAUACGAAUCUAAUCAACAAUGGAGAAGAAACUGGGUGCCCCUAUCUCUCAAUUUAUGAGCUUUUCAAACUUGCAGUUCUCAUAACAACAGGAAAGCCAAUCGAGGAAGUAAAUUUGCCCGCUGAUCUCGCACACUUUCUACACUAUUUACAGAGAGCAACCAACAUAGAUAAAAGAUUGAUUACAAACCACUCAGCCACCAGAUUUCCGGAGGAGAGGAUUCAGAGGAACAAGUCAUACAAUUAUCUGUUUCGGACUGAAUUCAAGCACUUUUAUGCAACGCCAGCUGCAGCGCGAAGUUACUACGUGUUUGAGGCAUUGGGGCUAAUCUUCCCCCAGGAGCUGUUAACACCUGCAGGUCUUCAUCCAUUGAUCGAUUAUUGGGCUUCUUACAAUCAAGAGAUGAUCCGUCAGCAGUCUGGAAAUGGAGUCAUCCUGACCCAUCAACGCCCAAUUGUUGUUCCUCGAUUUAAUACUGUUUAUGAACUCGGAAACCGGUUGAUUGCACUCUGUAGGGAUCCCUUUGAACAUCCCUAUGGACCAUUAUAUGCUGAUCCAUCAUAUGCUGAUCUUUAUCCGUACCUUGAGAUGGGCUACAGCAUUUUUCAAAUAGAGCAGCUAAUAAAUCACCUAAUUCCACUGUAUGGGCCUACCGCCGAUGAACAAAUUCUGGUGCACAAAUUGUGGGAUAAUGUGUUCACUGGUCAGCGGCCACUGCCCCCACAUGCUAAUUGGACUGAUAUAAGUGGCGUGCGGAACCAGGCAAGAUGA